rnacentral:lncRNA from 1 species
GCCUUCGAGUCUCCGCGCGCUCGAGGCCAAUUACCUUUGCGGCAGAGCAGCCAAUCGAGAAGCUUCGUGUCAGGUGCGCAGUUUGGGUGGCAGCGAAUGUUGUUGGGUGCGUUUUUUCGGUAUAGAAAUUGUUUCUUUAUUUAGCUAAUAAAAAGUUUUAUAGAAACAUUCCAUAGUGUCAGCCAUUUCCGCUGCAGCCGUCCUAGUUUUAAUAAAAUAUUGCCCUCAGCUACUGCAGGUAACAGGUGAGGGAAGGCAAGUAGGGAGAGUUGCGCGUAUGUGCGGAAUUCUUCUUGGUGCCGUUCACGCCGCGCGCGGAUGGAAAAGAAGCGAGUCGACAUGAUUGGAAAACUGGCUUCGCUGAGACAAGUCAAGGUUCUGCAGGUCUUGCUACUCGUCUUAUUUGCAUGUGGAGCUUUAUAUGCGGGCUUGCUAACGUACGAGAUGCACAAGCAACUGAAGAAGUACGAGGCGAUGGUGGUGCAAUUCCGGCAACAUCAGCCUGAUGAGGCGUUCACUGCACAGCCAGGCCGCGUAACAUGUCAUUGUCAUGAAGAAUAGCCGGACAAAGUUCAGUCAUAUUGCAUCAAGCAAGAAGUAAACUGAUCUUCUG